rnacentral:rRNA from 1 species
AACGAACGCUGGCGGCAGGCUUAACACAUGCAAGUCGAGCGCCCCGCAAGGGGAGCGGCAGACGGGUGAGUAACGCGUGGGAAUCUACCCAUCUCUACGGAAUAACGCAUGGAAACGUGUGCUAAUACCGUAUACGUCCUUCGGGAGAAAGAUUUAUCGGAGAUGGAUGAGCCCGCGUUGGAUUAGCUAGUUGGUGGGGUAAAGGCCUACCAAGGCGACGAUCCACAGCCGGUCUGAGAGGAUGAUCAGCCACACUGGGACUGAGACACGGCCCAGAAUCCUACGGGAGGCAGCAGUGGGGAAUAUUGGACAAUGGGCGCAAGCCUGAUCCAGCCAUGCCGCGUGAGUGAUGAAGGCCCUAGGGUUGUAAAGCUCUUUCACCGGUGAAGAUAAUGACGGUAACCGGAGAAGAAGCCCCGGCUAACUUCGUGCCAGCCGCCGCCGUAAUAC